GAAUAUUGGUCAAUGGGUGAGAGCCUGAACCAGCCAUGCCGCGUGCAGGAUGACAGCCUUCUGGGUUGUAAACUGCUUUUGUCAGGGAAGAAAAAGACUAUGCGUAGUCAAUUGCCGGUACCUGAUGAAUAAGCACCGGCUAACUCCGUGCCAGCAGCCGCGGUAAUACGGAGGGUGCAAGCGUUGUCCGGAUUUAUUGGGUUUAAAGGGUGCGUAGGCGGGCCUUUAAGUCAGUGGUGAAAGCCUCCCGCUCAACGGGAGAACUGCCAUUGAUACUGGGGGUCUUGAAUUCAGUUGAGGUAGGCGGAAUUUAUGGUGUAGCGGUGAAAUGCAUAGAUACCAUAAAGAACACCGAUUGCGAAGGCAGCUUACUGGGCUUGAAUUGACGCUGAGGCACGAAAGCGUGGGGAUCGAACAGG
rnacentral:rRNA from 1 species